UACGGAGGGUGCAAACGUUGCUCGGAAUCAUUGGGCGUAAAGCGCACGUAGGCGGCCUGUUAAGUCGGGUGUGAAAGCCCUGGGCUCAACCCAGGAAGUGCCUUUAAAACUGCAUCGCUAGAAUUGUGGAGAGGUAAGUGGAAUUCCGAGUGUAGAGGUGAAAUUCGUAGAUAUUCGGAAGAACACCAGUGGCGAAGGCGACUUACUGGACAGAUAUUGACGCUGAGGUGCGAAAGCGUGGGGAGCAAACAGG
rnacentral:rRNA from 1 species